CCAAUAGCGUAUAUUAAAGUUGUUGCAGUUAAAAAGCUCGUAGUUGAAUUUCGGGACUAAUAUGUCGGUCGUACUUUGUACGUACUAGCAUUAUUGGUUUCUCCCUUCUGACGAACCACGAUGUCAUUAAUUUGGUGUCAUGGGAAAUCAGGACUGUUACUUUGAAAAAAUUAGAGUGUUUAAAGCAAGCUCGCGCUUGA
rnacentral:rRNA from 1 species